UACAGAGGUCCCAAGCGUUGUUCGGAUUCACUGGGCGUAAAGGGUGCGUAGGUGGUCGGGUAAGUCCGAUGUGAAAUCUCCAGGCUCAACCUGGAAAUGGCAUUGGAUACUAUCCGGCUUGAGGAGUGGAGGGGGGACUGGAAUUCUCGGUGUAGCAGUGAAAUGCGUAGAGAUCGGGAGGAACACCCGUGGCGAAGGCGGCCAUCUGGACCAGCACUGACGCUGAGGCACGAAAGCGUGGGGAGCAAACAGG
rnacentral:rRNA from 1 species